rnacentral:rRNA from 1 species
AUAGAGGCCUACCAUGGUGGUAACGGGUAACGGGGUGUUAGGGCACGACACCGGAGAGGGAGCCUGAGAAACGGCUACCACAUCCAAGGAUGGCAGCAGGCGCGCAAAUUACCCAAUCCCGACACGGGGAGGUAGUGACAAUAAAUAACAAUACGGGGUUCUUUCGGAUCUCGUAAUUGGAAUGAGUACAAUUUAAAUCUCUUAGCGAGGAACAAUUGGAGGGCAAGUCUGGUGCCAGCAGCCGCGGUAAUUCCAGCUCCAAUAGCGUAUAUUAAAGUUGUUGCAGUUAAAAAGCUCGUAGUUGAAUUUCGGGGUUAGUAGGUUGGUCAUGCCUCUGGUAUGUACUGAUCUCACUGAUUCCUCCUUCCUUAUGAACCGUAAUGCCAUUAAUUUGGUGUUGCGGGGAAUUUGGACUGUUACUUUGAAAAAAUUAGAGUGUUUAAAGCAGGCUAACGCUUGAAUACAUUAGCAUGGAAUAAUGAAAUAGGACGUUCGAUCUUAUUUUGUUGGUUUCUAGGAUUGACGUAAUGAUUAAUAGGGAUAGUUGGGGGCAUUAGUAUUCAAUUGUCAGAGGUGAAAUUCUUGGAUUUAUUGAAGACUAACUACUGCGAAAGCAUUUGCCAAGGAUGUUUUCAUUAAUCAAGAACGAAAGUUAGGGGAUCGAAGACGAUCAGAUACCGUCGUAGUCUUAACCAUAAACUAUGCCGACUAGGGAUCGGAUGAUG